rnacentral:lncRNA from 1 species
AGUGAUCAUAAUUUAGAAAUGAUUCUUGAAGCUUGAAGUAGGAGUUAAUGGCAACACUCAAAAAUCUUUCACUCGAGGAAUUUUUGAACACAUCAUUGAAAUCCUUCACUUUAUAUGAAUUUAUGUUCCUUAUUGUUAUGAUUGAUAUUGCUUAUAUUGUAGGAGAGACAUUGAUUCUUUGAGUUGAAAUAUUAAAUAAAUUAUGAAAUGUAUGGGAUAAAAAAUAAAAGUAAUUUAUCUACAAUAUUUUGGAAAUUAA